CCCUUAGAUGUUCUGGGCCGCACGCGCGCUACACUGACGAAUGCAACGAGCUUAUAACCUUGGCCGAAAGGUCUGGGUAAUCUCCAAAUUUCGUCGUGAUGGGGAUAGAUUAUUGCAAUUAUUAAUCUUCAACGAGGAAUGCCUAGUAAGCGCAAGUCAUCAGCUUGCGUUGAUUACGUCCCUGCCCUUUGUACACACCGCCCGUCGCUCCUACCGAUUGAAUGGUCCGGUGAAGCGUUCGGACCGUGGCCUUUGGACGGUUCGCCGUCUGUUGGCUGCGGGAAGUUUAGUGAACCUUAUCACUUAGAGGAAGGAGAAGUCGUAACA
rnacentral:rRNA from 1 species